rnacentral:rRNA from 1 species
AUUGAACGCUGGCGGCAGGCCUAACACAUGCAAGUCGAACGGUAACAGGAAGCAGCUUGCUGCUUCGCUGACGAGUGGCGGACGGGUGAGUAAUGUCUGGGAAACUGCCUGAUGGAGGGGGAUAACUACUGGAAACGGUAGCUAAUACCGCAUAACGUCGCAAGACCAAAGAGGGGGACCUUAGGGCCUCUUGCCAUCGGAUGUGCCCAGAUGGGAUUAGCUAGUAGGUGGGGUAACGGCUCACCUAGGCGACGAUCGCUAGCUGGUCUGAGAGGAUGACCAGCCACACGGGAACUGAGCCACAGUCCAGACUACUACGGGAGGCAGCAGUGUGGAAUAUUGCACAAUGGGCGCAAGCCUGAUGCAGCCAUGCCGCGUGUAUGAAGAAAGCCUUCGGGUUGUAAAGUACUUUCAGAGGGGAGGAAGGGAGUAAAGUUAAUACCUUUGCUCAUUGACGUUACCCGCAGAAGAAGCACCGGCUAACUACGUG